GCUGUCGGCUUGUGGCGCUCUCAGGCGGUAAACAAUCUUACGCAAAUAGCUGUUAAUGGUGGUGGUAAACUCGUGCAAAUCCCAGAGCCGUGGUGACCCGGGACGGAGUCGGGUGCCCUGGUAUUCCCUGUCAAUCACAUAAAUUCUCUGUUCCUGUCACAGUCUGGUUUAUUCUUUCCAGUCGCUCACGGCGGCUGGUCGAGCUUCUUGGGAAAAAGUGUCGGCACCCCUUGAAAGCGGGUUGAUGACCGGGGCGCUCGGACCCGCUUCCUACCGCGCUGCAGGCACUCCCGAGCCCGCUCCACCCCUGACGAAGCCCGCGACUCUAAGGCACACGAAUAACCACGAUGAAUUCAAAAUGAACAUGAUCUUUAUUAAUCAGAAUGCACUUCUAGCCCACGAAACACAGGUUCCCUAAAUACAGUGUUUCUGCCUAUUUGAUUAACGAUGACUACGAAAGCACAAAUUUGGGGGCCUGCAAUGUAUACAGCCAUAUUGGAAAAGAUGGGACUCGAUUCUUACUGAAAUAACCAGUGUUGGGCUGUGAGGUAUUUUUCUGUGGGAAAUGCUUUGGAAGGUGCCUUUAAAAGAAUCUCAAAAUAUUGCUUUCCUUUCCUUGAGCGAGACCGAAAAACUUUAGAAAAAGAAAAGCUCAUACCUAGAACAAAGGACCACGCUGAAUGCAUAUUCUAGAGCGCAUUUCACAUCCCUCGCGUCAACAAGAAGAAGGUGAGGAGCUUUGAUGCAUUUCAGUCUACAAGUUGACAUCACAAAAGUAAGAACUGCUGCCUCCCUAAUUUCUGGAAAAACUGCCAGAGUGUGCCGGAAGCAGCCGUGGUUUCGGAAGGGAGCUAGAGGCAGAACCAGAGUGGAUGCUGAGAGCCCUGUCUGUGACUGUUACAUAUUUCAGCUGCGUAGUCACAUACAUACAAGAUUCCCUGCACUUAUAACCAAAAUGAUAACAAAUGCUCUCAUUUGGGAUUUUGUUUGAUAGUCAUUAGGAUAUUUUAUAAGUCUUUCCAAGCACAAGGUUCUUCUCUUUUUUUUUAAAGAGAAAUGUGACAAAUAAGGCAACACAUUUGAAAGUGCUUUGAGUAAUAACAUGACAU